UUCAAAUUAGUAUAAUGAGAAGUCGUGUAGUAUAAGAGUUGAAUUAUUAUGAUAUGUAUAUUAAUUAAUUACUUAAUACAUAAAUAAAUAAAAACAUAUCUAAUUCUCAAGGUUCUUCCCAAAUAAGUACUAUAUAAAGAACUCGAAGAUUGUUAUGCAUAUUCCGAGAACAAAAGAAAAUAGAGUUGUAAGAAAAUCUUGAAACAAAAAUGGCAACGCACAUUUGCCAGUCUCUUCUAUUGGGACUUUUAUGCAUUGUGUUGGUUCUGGCUUCAGCAGGAUCAACACCAGAUUUAAACGAUUUAUCACCUUUUCCAUGCAUUGGGCCAUGCGAAAAUUGUGACCAGAUGUGCAUGAGGAAGGGAUACAAUAAAGGUGGAGGUUGUUAUUCAAUGGUUUGUUGUUGUCACUUUUAAGACAAUUCAUAGAAAUUAUGCAAUCAAGACCAACGAAGUAUUCACACGUUAAUGAGAUUACUUCAAAGAGCCAGAAUCUAUGAAGAUAAACAAAAAAGAAAUUAUGUAAGCAAAAAAUGAGAGUAAAAGCUGUUUUAAUAAAAUAAUAUGUACUUUAGUAAUAAAUAAUUGAUAUUCAAUAAUAAAAUUAUAUUUUAGAAUA